UUUUUCCCAAUAAUGAUAAUGUAUUCAACUUGAGAUGUUUGUCUUGCCUUAAUGUUUGUUGUCCUCUUUAACAAUUAUAUGUCCACUGCAUCGGAAAUCUGCAAUGGCUCCAUAACUACCAUCUUGGCUUUAACCUUGGAGCCCCAGUAAUCUAUUACAGCACUUACCUAGCAUACAUAAUCGUUUAGAUCACCUGUGAACUAAACCCCCAUACUUUGUGUGUGUGUGUGUAUAUAUAUAUAUAUUAUAUAUAUAUAUAUAAUACUUUUACAAGCAGAUGGAUGAAAGUGAUUUUGAAGUUUUGGCCUGCCAGCCUUUGUCAGAUUGCAAAAGUAUAAUAAAUAUACACUUUACAUAAAAGUUUUGAAUAAUUAAAUUACUUUUAUUUUAACUCAACAACAACUACAACAAAAAAGGGGAACCCAAAUAUUGUUUCCUAGAAUGUUGGUUCUUGAACCACGUCCCAUAAACCUAAAAUAACAUGUAAAUAUUUUGUUGAAACCCAUCCACACUUUUGGAUAGAAAAAGUCAAAGACUGCUCAUUGGACUUGAUCCCACAUCCCCUGCAGACAUGACAGAUGUUCCACCACUGGACCAAAGCAUUCCUUCAAAUGUCUCUUUCCAAUUUGGAAACAACUUUAUUCUUACCAGUGAGAGUCACAUGUUAAGGACAUCAUAAGAAUUCUAUGACUUCAACAAUGUGUGUGUGAGAGAGAGAGAGAAAGAGAGAGAGAGAGAGAGAGAGAGAGAGAUUAUUUCUGCAGAUAAGAACAAGUUUAUAUUUUAGCCCCAAAGUUUCUUCAAAAGUCUUCAGACAUUUGCUCAUGUCUCUGGCUCAUCUCACCUGUUCACUAUUCACCAUUCUACCUUUUGUUGCUUAUGACACAUUUACAACCCAAUCACAUGUUUGCAAGGCUCACUCAGCUGGUGACGAUGGUGGGGGUCCCUUUUUUCAUUCCAUGCCUUGUUGAUUGUUUGAACUGAAAAGCGGCCCUUCCCUCCCACCCUCAGCUAUCCAAUAAACGAUGUAUUAAAGGAAAUGAGAGUCGCCAUCAUUUUAAUGUUUAUUUUUCCGUGCUUGCAUGGGUCGGACAAAAUUUGUGAAGACGAAUUUUCUGUUGCUGGAUACCCUUCCUGUCACCAACCCUCACAUGUUUUUCAUGGAAGAAUGGGAAGAAAGGGCUUUGCUUGUCAGGACAAGGAGAUGUACAUGAGAGGCUUUUUUUCGGUCUCUGCCAACCAAAUUUACUCUCAAGGCUUUGGCCUGGGGUUACAGUAGAAGACACUUCUCCAAGUUGUUGCACAAAGGGAUUGAACCUGAAAUCACAUGGCUGGAAAGCAAACUUCUUAGCCUUGAAUAAAAGCUGUCUCCCAGCUGCAGCUUCUAGAAAUUUAGUGUUAAUAACAAAGUGCAGAAAGCUGCCCAAUGUGUGGCUGGUGGGAUUGAGAGGGUAUUGUACAGCUGUUCACAUGUGAAGACUCUGCUACAGUUGUGUGUAUCCUACCGUGGAAGUUCUCUGCGUUGCAUGUCAUAGCAACUCGUCUCUUAUGAUAUAAAGCUGUUAUCAGCAAGAUCUUUUGGCAACAAUCUUGAGGGCUUCUUUUCAAUUUAUCUGAGUACAUAAGGUACUCACAUGCCAUGCAUGUGGGCGGACUUUGUGAUGCUUCAAGGGUAGAUAGGCACACUCUGUGACUGUACCUCCUUGUAGAUGCUGCUUGUUUGAGAUUUUUGCAUAUUGGUGCUUCAGUUUUCUGUGAAGCUCUUAUUGAAGUCUGCCAAAAACUCAAUUGUUUUAGUCAGAAUAAACUGUAAGAAAUUCCCUUUUCAGCGUCUUGUUGAAACAGGUGUAGAGAAUUUACAGCUCAGUCUAUAUUUUGAAGCAAAGCAAUGCCUCUAUCCUCUCGUUUACUUUGCUGAACUGAAAAAAGAUUAAUUACUUUCCCAAUUAGUUGGAUGUGGAAGUUUGAUUCAGACAGGUUCCCCAUUCACCCAUUUUUUUGCCAAAUAUCAGCCUUUAAAGGUAUUCAGAGUUUAGAAAACUGUCUUGUAAUCCCUAAAUUCCUUGCUGCGUAAUUUAUGAGUAAAAUUAGAUGGUGGUGGUGGUGGUGGUGGUGGUGGGGAUGUUGGUGGUGGGGAUGUUGGUGGCAUUUGGCAGCGACUGAGGAGAACCUGAUGUCUUGAAAUAUUUAUGGGUCUCACCUUAUAAACUUGUUUCGUCGUCUUCCCCUCCCCUUAUCUCCAUCCCCACUCCAUACCUGUCAUUUUGUCAAUGAAUAUUUUUGCAUGUUAGAAAUGUUAAUGUGAACACUGUUGAAGAAGACCACAAACAAUCUUGUUAUACAUAGAAGGAGGGUUCUAACCCUAUGCAUGGCAAUACUCUCCCUGAAUUAUAAGCAACGGGGUGGGGUGGUGGGAGAGGAAAGAAUAAAAAAAACAAGAAGAGCGAAACGAUUCUUCUGCUUUCAGCCCUUUAUUAAAAGAAAAAAAAACGAACAUUUAAGAAAAAACAAUUUUUUACUUAUCUUUUUUUAUGAGAAUAUGAAAAAAAAAAAAACCACUGCAAAUUGUAUUGAUGGUUCUUGUAAAUAUUUUUUGUCUAAUUCCAAGUACAUUGUCAUAAUUCCCAUUUCGAAAUCUUCACAACAGACAGGUAGUAUUACCCUUGUAUAAAUUAUCUUUACUUCAAUAUUGCAGUGUUACAACACUACCCCCACCCCCAACAACUUGCCAAUAUUUGAAGACAUCAUCUUCUCUUGUCUUGGUUGUUGCACAGUUCUUGUGAAUAAAGAUAGGACAAACAAAAAAGAAA